UGGGGAAUUUUGGACAAUGGGCGAAAGCCUGAUCCAGCAAUGCCGCGUGUGUGAAGAAGGCCUUCGGGUUGUAAAGCACUUUUGUCCGGAAAGAAAUCCUUGGCUCUAAUACAGUCGGGGGAUGACGGUACCGGAAGAAUAAGCACCGGCUAACUACGUGCCAGCAGCCGCGGUAAUACGUAGGGUGCAAGCGUUAAUCGGAAUUACUGGGCGUAAAGCGUGCGCAGGCGGUUUGCUAAGACCGAUGUGAAAUCCCCGGGCUCAACCUGGGAACUGCAUUGGUGACUGGCAGGCUAGAGUAUGGCAGAGGGGGGUAGAAUUCCACGUGUAGCAGUGAAAUGCGUAGAGAUGUGGAGGAAUACCGAUGGCGAAGGCAGCCCCCUGGCCAAGUACUGACGCUCAUGCACGAAAGCGUGGGGAGCAAACNGGAUUAAUACCCUGGUAGUCCACGCCCUAAANGAUGUCAACUAGUUGUUGGGGAUUCAUUUCCUUAGUAACGUAGCUAACGCGUGAAGUUGACCGCCUGGGGAGUACGGUCGCAAGAUUAAAACUUCAAAU
rnacentral:rRNA from 1 species